AUUGAACGCUGGCGGCAGGCCUAACACAUGCAAGUCGAACGAGUGGCGGACGGGUGAGUAAUGUCUGGGAAACUGCCCGAUGGAGGGGGAUAACUACUGGAAACGGUAGCUAAUACCGCAUACCAUCGGAUGUGCCCAGAUGGGAUUAGCUAGUAGGUGGGGUAACGGCUCCCCUAGGCGACGAUCCCUAGCUGGUCUGAGAGGAUGACCAGCAACACUGGAACUGAGACACGGUCCAGACUCCUAUGUGAGGCAGCAGUGGGGAAUAUUGCACAAUGGGCGCAAGCCUGAUGCAGCCAUGCCGCGUGUAUGAAGAAGGCCUUCGGGUUGUAAAGUACUUUCAGCGGGGAGGCGUUACCCGCAGAAGAAGCACCGGCUAACUCCGUGCCAGCAGCCGCGGUAAUUC
rnacentral:rRNA from 1 species